rnacentral:rRNA from 1 species
UACGGGGGGGGCAAGCGUUGUUCGGAAUUACUGGGCGUAAAGGGCUCGUAGGCGGCCAACUAAGUCAUACGUGAAAUCCCUCGGCUUAACCGGGGAACUGCGUCUGAUACUGGAUGGCUUGAGAUUGGGAGAGGGAUGCGGAAUUCCAGGUGUAGCGGUGAAAUGCGUAGAUAUCUGGAGGAACACCGGCGGCGAAGGCGGCUGCCUGGACCAGUCCUGACGCUGAGGCGCGAAAGCUAGGGGAGCAAACAGA